AACGAACGCUGGCGGCAGGCUUAACACAUGCAAGUCGAACGAUGUAGCAAUACAUAGUGGCGCACGGGUGAGUAACGCGUGGGAAUAUACCUUAUAGUGGGGAAUAACUUUGGGAAACUAAAGCUAAUACCGCAUACGCCCGAGAGGGGAAAGAUUUAUCGCUAUAAGAUUAGCCCGCGUGAGAUUAGGUAGUUGGUGGGGUAAUGGCCUACCAAGCCUACGAUCUCUAGCUGGUCUGAGAGGAUGAUCAGCCACACUGGAACUGAGACACGGUCCAGACUCCUACGGGAGGCAGCAGUGGGGAAUAUUGGGCAAUGGACGAAAGUCUGACCCAGCCAUGCCGCGUGAAUGAUGAAGGCCUUAGGGUUGUAAAGUUCUUUCGCCGAUGAAGAUAAUGACGGUAGUCGGAGAAGAAGACCCGGCUAACUUCGUGCCAGCAGCCGCGGUAAU
rnacentral:rRNA from 1 species